AAAAGACUGCGCUUUGACAUAGA
rnacentral:piRNA from 1 species